rnacentral:rRNA from 1 species
GACGAACGCUGGCGGCGUGCUUAACACAUGCAAGUCGAACGGAAAGGCCUUGCUUUUGUGGUGUGCUCGAGUGGCGAACGGGUGAGUAACACGUGAGUAACCUGCCCUUGACUUUGGGAUAACUUCAGGAAACUGGGGCUAAUACCGGAUAGGAGCUCCUGCUGAAUGGUGGGGGUUGGAAAGUUUCGGCGGUUGGGGUUGGACUCGAGGCUUAUCAGGUUGUUGGUCGGGUAGUGGCUUACCAAGCCUUUGACGGAUAGCCGGCCUGAGAGGUUGACCGGACCUAGUGGGACUGAGAGAGGGCCCAGACUUGUACGGGAGGCAGCAGUAGGGGAUAGUGGGCAAUGGGCCGGAGCCUGAUGGAGAGACGACGAGUGCGGGGUGAUAUCCUUCGGGUGGGAAACCGGUUUAGCCUGUGACGGAGCGUGCGUGACGGUAAUGGGUAAAGAAGCACCGGCUAACUACGUG